AGCUAAACAAAUAUUAAAGGCGACGCCUGCCCAGUGAACAAUUUAACGGCCGCGGUAUCCUAACCGUGCAAAGGUAGCAUAAUCAUUUGUCUACUAAUUAUAGACCAGCAUGAAAGGCAAAAUGAGGGUUUGACUGUCUCUUAUAAUUAAUCAAUUAAACUGAUCUCCCAGUAAAAAAGCUGGAAUAACCCCAUAAGACCAGAAGACCCUGUGAAGCUUAAACUACACUAUUAAACCCCAUAAUAGCCACUUUUGGUUGGGGCGACCUUGGAAAAAAAAAGAACUUCCAAACACAUGGUAUAUAUAUAUACCACCAAUAGGCCAACAAGCCACACAACGACCCAGCAUAGCUGAUCAUUGAACCAAGUUACUCCAGGGAUAACAGCGCAAUCCUCUUCAAGAGCCCAUAUCAAAAAGAGGGUUUACGACCUCGAUGUUGGAUCAGGACAUCCUGAUGGUGCAGCCGCUAUCAAGGGUUCGUUUGUUCAACGAUUAA
rnacentral:rRNA from 1 species